rnacentral:rRNA from 1 species
GAUGAACGCUAGCGACAGGCUUAACACAUGCAAGUCGAGGGGCAGCGGGGUGUGGCAACACACUGCCGGCGACCGGCGCACGGGUGAGUAACGCGUAUGCAACUUGCCUAGCAGAGGGGGAUAACUCGGCGAAAGUCGGACUAACACCGCAUAAAACAGGGGUCGCGUCGGGGGAAAUUUGUUAAUGAUCCAUCGCUGACAGAUAGGCAGGCGUUCCAUUAGGCAGUGGGCGGGGUAACGGCCCACCAAACAGACGAGGGAUAGGGGUUCUGAGAGGAAGGUCCCCCACAUUGGGACUGAGACACGGACCAAACUCCUACGGGAGGCAGCAGUGAGGAAUAUUGGUCAAUGGCCGGGAGGCUGAACCAGCCAAGUCGCGUGAAGGAUGAAGGUUCUAUGGAUUGUAAACUUCUUUUGUGCGGGAAUAAAGUCGGGGACGUGUCCCCGUUUGCAUGUACCGUACGAAUAAGCAUCGGCUAACUCCGUGCCAGCAGCCGCCGUAA